rnacentral:piRNA from 1 species
UUUACUGACGUUUUUCCAACC